AUUGAACGCUAGCGGGAGGCCUAACACAUGCAAGUCGAACGGAGCGGCGAACGGGUGAGUAAUGCCUCGGAACGUGCCUGGUAGUGGGGGAUAACUACGGGAAACGGGCGCUAAUACCGCAUACUAUCGGAUGAGCCGAGAUCGGAUUAGCUAGGUGGUGGGGUAACGGCCGACCAAGGCGACGAUCCGUAACUGGUCUGAGAGGAUGAUCAGUCACACUGGAAAUGAGACACGGUCCAGACUCCUACGGGAGGCAGCAGUGGGGAAGAUUGGACAAUGGGCGAAAGCCUGGUCCAGCCAUGCCGCGUGUGCGAUGAAGGCCUUCGGUUUGUAAAGCACUUUUAGGUGGGAAGCGUUACCUACAGAAUAAGCACCGGCUAACUUCGUGCCAGCAGCCGCGGUAAUAC
rnacentral:rRNA from 1 species